GACGAACGCUGGCGGCGUGCUUAACACAUGCAAGUCGAACGGAAAGGCCCUGCUUUUGUGGGGUGCUCGAGUGGCGAACGGGUGAGUAACACGUGAGUAACCUGCCCUUGACUUUGGGAUAACUUCAGGAAACUGGGGCUAAUACCGGAUAGGAGCUACUGCUGCAUGGUGGGGGUUGGAAAGUUUCGGCGGUUGGGGAUGGACUCGCGGCUUAUCAGCUUGUUGGUGGGGUAGUGGCUUACCAAGGCUUUGACGGGUAGCCGGCCUGAGAGGGUGACCGGCCACAUUGGGACUGCGGUACGGCCCAGUCUCCUACGGGAGGCAGCAGUGGGGAAUAUUGCACAAUGGGCGGAAGCCUGAUGCAGCAACGCCGCGUGCGGGAUGACGGCCUUCGGGUUGUAAACCGCUUUCUCCUGUGACGAAGCGUGAGUGACGGUAAUGGGUAAAGAAGCACCGGCUAACUACGUG
rnacentral:rRNA from 1 species